rnacentral:rRNA from 1 species
CCAGACUCCUACGGGAGGCAGCAGUGGGGAAUAUUGCACAAUGGGGGAAACCCUGAUGCAGCAACGCCGCGUGAGGGAAGACGGUUUUCGGAUUGUAAACUUCUAUCAAUAGGGAAGAAAGAAAUGACGGUACCUAAAUAAGAAGCCCCGGCUAACUACGUGCCAGCAGCCGCGGUAAUACGUAGGGGGCAAGCGUUAUCCGGAUUUACUGGGUGUAAAGGGAGCGUAGACGGCAGCGCAAGUCUGGAGUGAAAUGCCGGGGCCCAACCCCGGAACUGCUCUGGAAACUGUGAAGCUGGAAUGCAGGAGAGGUAAGCGGAAUUCCUGGUGUAGCGGUGAAAUGCGUAGAUAUCAGGAGGAACACCGGCGGCGAAGGCGGCUUACUGGACUGUAACUGACGUUGAGGCUCGAAGGCGUGGGGAGCAAACAGGAUUAGAUACCCCAGUA